UAGCUCAGUUGGUUAGAGCAUCUGACUGUUAAUCAGAGGGUCCUUGGUUCGAGCCCAAG
rnacentral:tRNA from 1 species